GACGAACGCUGGCGGCGUGCCUAAUACAUGCAAGUCGAGCGGACGAAUCGAAAGCUUGCUUUUGAUUCGUUAGCGGCGGACGGGUGAGUAACACGUGGGCAACCUGCCCUGUAGACGGGGAUAACACCGAGAAAUCGGUGCUAAUACCGGAUAACACGAAAUGUCGCAUGACGUUUCGGUGAAAGACGGCGCAAGCUGUCGCUACAGGAUGGGCCCGGGGCGCAUUAGCUAGUUGGUGAGGUAACGGCUCACCAAGGCGACGAUGCGUAGCCGACCUGAGAGGGUGAUCGGCCACACUGGGACUGAGACACGGCCCAGACUCCUACGGGAGGCAGCAGUAGGGAAUCUUCCGCAAUGGACGAAAGUCUGACGGAGCAACGCCGCGUGAGCGAAGAAGGCCUUCGGGUCGUAAAGCUCUGUUGUUAGGGAAGAACAAGUAACGCAGUAACUGGCGUUACCGUGACGGUACCUAACGAGAAAGCCACGGCUAACUACGUG
rnacentral:rRNA from 1 species